rnacentral:rRNA from 1 species
UUACGGCCAUUUCAUGUUGAAACACCGAUCCCCAUACAAUCACCAAAGUUAAGCAACAUUGAGCCUGGUCAGUACUUAGAUUAGUGACCUCUUGGGAAUACCAGAU